rnacentral:rRNA from 1 species
CACGUAGGCGGAUACUUAAGUUAGGGGUGAAAUCCCAAGGCUCAACCUUGGAACUGCCUUUAAUACUGGGUAUCUCGAGUCCGGAAGAGGUGAGUGGAAUUCCGAGUGUAGAGGUGAAAUUCGUAGAUAUUCGGAGGAACACCAGUGGCGAAGGCGGCUCACUGGUCCGGUACUGACGCUGAGGUGCGAAAGCGUGGGGAGCAAACA